rnacentral:rRNA from 1 species
CCUACGGGGGGCUGCAGUAAGGAAUAUUGGUCAAUGGAGGAAACUCUGAACCAGCCAUCCCGCGUGAAGGAUGAAGGGGCUCUGCCUUGUAAACUUCUUUUGAAUGGGACGAAAAAAGGGGAUUUAUCCUCGACUGACGGUACCAUUAGAAUAAGCACCGGCUAACUCCGUGCCAGCAGCCGCGGUAAUACGGAGGGUGCAAGCGUUAUCCGGAAUCACUGGGUUUAAAGGGUGCGUAGGCGGCUAAAUAAGUCAGUGGUGAAAGGCCGUGGCUUAACCAUGGGAUUGCCAUUGAUACUGUAUAGCUUGAAUGAGGAUGAGGUUGGCGGAAUGUGGCAUGUAGCGGUGAAAUGCUUAGAUAUGCCAUGGAACAUCGAUUGCGAAGGCAGCUGACUGGACCUGAAUUGACGCUGAGGCACGAAAGCGUGGGUAGCGAACAGGAUUAGAUACCCCAGUAGUC